ensembl:snRNA U2 U2 spliceosomal RNA
GCAGCUUCUCUGCCUUUUUAGCUAAGAUCAUGUUUAGUAGCUGUUCUGAUCAGUUUAAUAUCUGAUACGUCCUCUAAAUGGGGACUAUAUAUUUGGGGCAGUCGUG